ACUGCCGGUCGUCCGAUCCCUCAAGCGGAGCGCGGCCGACAUACUCGACCCUGACCCGGCCAAUGCCGUUUUCACGAAAUUCCAAGAGCUUGGCGGCCGUAUUUGAGACGUCGAUCAAACGAUUGCCGUGAUAUGGCCCGCGGUCGUUGACGCGCACGAUAACCGAUUUGCCGUUGGCUACAUUGGUCACGCGCGCGUAGCUCGGCAGCGGCAGCGUCGGAUGGGCUGCGGUGAGCGACGUCAUGUCGAACA
rnacentral:misc_RNA from 1 species